UGGAUGGGGUCUAUGGCU
rnacentral:miRNA from 1 species